AGUGAACGCUGGCGGCAGGCCUAAUACAUGCAAGUCGAACGGCAGCACAGCAGAGCUUGCUCUGUGGGUGGCGAGUGGCGGACGGGUGAGGAAUACAUGGGAAUCUGCCCAGUCGUGGGGAUAACGUAGGGAAACUUACGCUAAUACCGCAUGCGCCCUUCGGGGAAAGCCGGGGACCUUCGGGCCUGGCGCGAUUGGAUGAGCCCAUGUCGGAUUAGCUAGUUGGCGGGGUAAUGGCCCACCAAGGCGACGAUCCGUAGCUGGUCUGAGAGGAUGAUCAGCCACACUGGAACUGAGACACGGUCCAGACUCCUACGGGAGGCAGCAGUAGGGAAUAUUGGACAAUGGGCGCAAGCCUGAUCCAGCCCAUGCCGCGUGAGUGAAGAAGGCCCUCGGGUUGUAAAGCUCUUUUGUCCGGAAAGAAAGCGCCGGGUUAAUACCCUAGUGUCCUGACGGUACCGGAAG
rnacentral:rRNA from 1 species